UACGAGAGGCCCAAACGUUAUUCGGAUUUACUGGGCUUAAAGAGUCCGUAGGCAGCGCAGAAAGUAGGGUGUGAAAUCCCUCGGCUUAACCGAGGAAUUGCGCCCUAAACUACUGUGCUCGAGGAACCUAGAGGUGAGCGGAACUGAUGGUGGAGCGGUGAAAUGCGUUGAUAUCAUCAGGAACACCGGAGGCGAAGGCGGCAUCCUGGACCGGUAUUGACGCUGAGGCGCGAAAGCCAGGGGAGCAAACGGG
rnacentral:rRNA from 1 species